GACGAACGCUGGCGGCGUGCUUAACACAUGCAAGUCGAACGGACAGGCCCUGCUUUUGUUGGUUGCUCGAGUGGCGAACGGGGGAGUAACACGUGAGUAACCUGCCCUUGACUUUGGGAUAACUUCUGGAAACUGGGGCUAAUACCGGAUAGGAGCUUCUGCUGCGUGGGGUGGGUUGGAAAGUUUCGGCUGUUGUGGAUGGAGUCGCUGCUUAUCAGCUUGUUUGUGAGGUAGGUGCUGACCAAGGCUUUGACGGGUAGCCGGCCUGAGCGGGGAACCGGCGUCAUGGGGCCUGCGGUACGGACCAGACUCGAAUGGGAGGCAGCAGUGGGGAACCUGACGCAGUGGCCGGACGCGUGUUGCAGAAACCCCGCGUGCGUAAUGCCGGCUUUCGAGUUGUAAACCGCUUUCGACUGUGACGAAGCGUGAGUGACGGUAAUGAGUAAGGAAGCCCCGGCUAACUACGUG
rnacentral:rRNA from 1 species